GAUGAACGCUAGCUACAGGCUUAACACAUGCAAGUCGAGGGGAAACGACAUCGAAAGCUUGCUUUUGAUGGGCGUCGACCGGCGCACGGGUGAGUAACGCGUAUCCAACCUGCCCACCACUUGGGGAUAACCUUGCGAAAGUAAGACUAAUACCCAAUGACGUCUCUAGAAGACAUCUGAAAGAGAUUAAAGAUUUAUCGGUGAUGGAUGGGGAUGCGUCUGAUUAGCUUGUUGGCGGGGUAACGGCCCACCAAGGCGACGAUCAGUAGGGGUUCUGAGAGGAAGGUCCCCAACAUUGGAACUGAGACACGGUCCAAACUCCUACGGGAGGCAGCAGUGAGGAAUAUGGGUCAAUGGACGAGAGUCUGAACCAGCCAAGUAGCGUGCAGGAUGACGGCCCUAUGGGUUGUAAACUGCUUUUAUAAGGGAAUAAAGUGAGUCUCGUGAGACUUUUUGCAUGUACCUUAUGAAUAAGGACCGGCUAAUUCCGU
rnacentral:rRNA from 1 species